rnacentral:rRNA from 1 species
GAUGAACGCUGGCGGCGUGCCUAAUACAUGCAAGUCGAGCGAACAGACGAGGAGCUUGCUCCUCUGACGUUAGCGGCGGACGGGUGAGUAACACGUGGAUAACCUACCUAUAAGACUUGGAUAACUUCGGGAAACCGGAGCUAAUACCGGAUAAUAUAUUGAACCGCAUGGUUCAAUAGUGAAAGACGGUUUUGCUGUCACUUAUAGAUUGAUCCGCGCCGCAUUAGCUAGUUGGUAAGGUAACGGCUUACCAAGGCAACGAUGCGUAGCCGACCUGAUAGGGUGAUCGGCCACACUGUAACUGAGACACGGUACAGACUCCUACGGGAGGCAGCAGUAGGGAAUCUGCCGCAAUGGGCGAAAGCCUGAAGGAGCAACGCCGCGUGAGUGAUGAAGGUCUUCGGAUCGUAAAACUCUGUUAUUAGGGAAGAACAAAUGUGUAAGUAACUAUGCACGUCUUGACGGUACCUAAUCAGAAAGCCACGGCUAACUACGUG